CCCUUCUGACACAGCCACCUUUGGG
rnacentral:piRNA from 1 species